GUUCAAAUAGCUUAAAAAGAGUAUAACAUUGAAGCUGUUAAGGUAAUUUAAAAAUUUUUGGAUA
rnacentral:tRNA from 1 species